CCGCGCUAGACGGGAAGCUGGCGGUAUCCUGCACCCUCAAUCCGCCAUAGAGGGGUAUCAAUUCCCACUAGAGGUCUCGUCGUCAAGGGUCUGCCUCAGACGGGCGGUGUUGAAGGCCGGGCCCCGCGCAAGUGAGCCCUGCCGAAUCCCGUCAGGUCCGAGAGGAAGCAGCGGUAGGCGGUCAGCUCGCUGUGCCGCGGAUCGCCUGGCCCGAGCAUGCUAUCUGAGUAACGCCUGGGCGCCGUUAUCGAAGGUGGGUGCGCGG
rnacentral:SRP_RNA from 1 species